rnacentral:rRNA from 1 species
GACGAACGCUGGCGGCGUGCUUAACACAUGCGAGUCGAACGAAGAGCGAUGGAAGCUUGCUUCUAUCAAUCUUAGUGGCGAACGGGUGAGUAACGCGUAAUCAACCUGCCCUUCAGAGGGGGACAACAGUUGGAAACGACUGCUAAUACCGCAUACGAUCUAAUCUCGGCAUCGAGGAUAGAUGAAAGGUGGCCUCUACAUGUAAGCUAUCACUGAAGGAGGGGAUUGCGUCUGAUUAGCUAGUUGGAGGGGUAACGGCCCACCAAGGCGAUGAUCAGUAGCCGGUCUGAGAGGAUGAACGGCCACAUUGGGACUGAGACACGGCCCAGACUCCUACGGGAGGCAGCAGUGGGGAAUCUUCCGCAAUGGACGAAAGUCUGACGGAGCAACGCCGCGUGAGUGAUGACGGCCUUCGGGUUGUAAGCUCUGUUAAUCGGGACGAAAGGCCUUCUUGCGAAUAGUGAGAAGGAUUGACGGUACCGGAAUAGAAAGCCACGGCUAACUACGUG